ensembl:lncRNA
AUGGUGUGCCCGCUUGUUCUGUGUGUCGGAUGUCACUCCUGCUGGCUCUGAAGGUGACACGUCCUGUCUAGGUCCAAGGUCUAUGAUGGGGGAGGGGGAUGCACCUCCCUUCUGGUCCCUUCUGGAACCUUCUGGAACCCUCUGGAACUUCCAACCACUCAGCACAGUCCUGGUGGACAGGGUGGCUUGGGUCUUUUUCUAGGUGGACCACAAGCAACGCCGUUAUUUCCAGCUCACUGUACCACUCACCAUACUGUUUCUGCGUGGCUUCUUCCCCCACAAGGAGGUGUGGCCUCUGUCCCCAGAUGACAGAUGAGACAACUGGCCUCAGCAAGCAAAGACCAGAGACUGAGCCCCAAGAGGCCCUUCUCCAACACUCCUGGAGAGAAGACAGAAGGAGAAAUGGAUGGACAGGAGCUGAAGACAAAGCAGCCCUUCAUGGCUCAGACUUCUCACAAAAGAAGGCCUCUCAAUAGGCUGUGAAGACAGGGGAUAAGGGAAGCCGAUCAUUGGCACCAUGAGGCAUUUAAAUCAAAUCCAGGAAGAACUGCCAUAAGACGGCACUGGAAUGGGGAGCCAGCGGGUGUGAGGCUGCAUCAUGCAGCCUCUCAGCUGGGCACUUUGGCCCUUUGGCCACUGGAGCCAGCUCUGAUGGUCACCUGGAGGUGACAGGGCUCAGGGAGGUGUCCUUGAAGUGGGACAGGGAUGGCUGAGUCCAGCAUUCCCAUGCUCUGAAAUGAGCUUUGCAGGCAAAGCUUGCAGCGGGGUGGGGGAGAGCCCCAGGAGAAGGAUUCUCACAAUUUUCCAUACCCACAUCUGCUUCAUUGACACAUCCAGCUCCUCUUUACAGCAGGCAUAUUUCAAAGGCCUGGUUCCAUUUGCAUUUUUAAAACCCUGCUGAUGGCCUAGGAAAAUCACAUCCUUCCCAUGUUCUCAGGUACCACAUUCCCAACUCCACCCCCGACUCCAUGGGCCUCUGGACCCUCCCUUUGAAGCAGAUCCCUUACCAAGGGACCCCUCUGGUCAUUUGGAGGUCCCUAGAGGCUAGGGGGGGGCUCUCAGGAGGGUGUGGCCAAGAUGGCCACAGCUAUGGGCAGCUGGCAGCAGGAAGGUGAUCAGAGCCCUGAUCAAAUCCAC